rnacentral:snRNA from 13 species
AGCUUUGCGCAGUGGCAGUAUCGUAGCCAAUGAGGUUUAUCUGAGGCGCAAUUAUUGCUAAUUGAAAAAGAGUGAUAUAAGAAAAUAU